UGCGCGGCUCUUUUUGGUGUCCAUGCGGCGGGAGGCCGCUAUGGGGCGCUCUACGCCGGGCUGAGCAGAGUAAAGCGGGCGCCGCGCGGAGCCGGGAGCGGCAUCGGCAUCGGGCUGUGUCCGGGUGUAGCUGGACGAUCCCCGAACCGAAGCGCUGGCCGCAUUGAGUGACCGGAGCAGUUUGGGGAAAGGAGACGACCGCAUUUCGGGUGACAUCUGCCUGAGGACAAGGGGGAAGAAGAGUGAGUCAGCCUCUCUGCCCUGCUCCGAGUGCAGCCGCUAUCUCUGCCUGCCGGGGAAGCCAGCCGAGCUGUGCGGGUGGCCCUUGCCCUGCGAGGGGCUGAAGCACGAUCACACUGGGGCAGAUAACUUCCUUAAGGUCAGAGGUAUCGCGGUGGCUGCGGCUGGUCAGUUAUGCUGGCAUCCACAGAUAACAGCUGAUCACGGGCAACAGCUGGUCCUGGGCCUUUGUGAAGUCUGCACAAUGCGUGUGUUUACUUCGGUGUCCUCUGGAGAGGGAUAGGGCCCUUCAAGUCAGGUGCAGCACAGCUUGACUGCGUCCCAAGAACUUGAAAAAGCAAUGAACAAGAGUGGUUUAGACAGAUACAGAAAAAUAAAGUUCUACUUGUUCAGAUUCAGGGUGCGUGGAGAAGAAAAACAAAUCAACAAAUCAUGUGGAUACCCCAAAAAAUAAACAAUACUUGAAUCAACUGUGCACGAUGACAGCACAAAACCGAAAAGAUAUUCACUUUGGAAGAGCAACCUCUUAAAAGCUCUCUGAAAUUUUGUGACUGCUUUGUCUUUUGCCUUCACUGUGGUCAGUAUAGGCGAAUAAUUAAAAUAGCUGAAUUUGAAACAUCAUAGAGUGUCUGAGAGUUAAGGCAGCUAACAAAGAUGUGGUUUUUAUCAUAGCAGCAAUGCAACAGCCUUUGAAUGUCACAUGCUGCAGCCACAAAAAGAAGAGUAUUGCCUUGAAACCUGUCACCUUACCUGAGCUCCCAUGUCAUUCUCAGUUGUUUUGUAUUGUGCUACUUGUCUUUAGGAAAAUCUGUAGGCUAGUGCUUGGGAAGUUGACUUAGAGUUUACUCAGGGUCUGGUGUAAGAGGAAUUUAUACAGGCUGCUGCUGUAGCCCUGUUGGACUGUUCUGUGGGUAUCACUGUAGCGCAGAAAGAUCAGGAUUGAGAGAAGGCAGAUGAAGGUCAUAACAGUAAAGUGUUGCUAUAUGAGGGUUAUUCUUUGUGACAUCUGUUUUUAAGUAUAUAUGAAACUACACUGUAGAGCAAGAUUCCAUCUCAAAGCUGAGAUAUCUGUUGCCAAAAUUCAUUUAAGAGAGGGCAGGGCUGGCUGCAGGGCUCGCCCGUUUCUCUAC